rnacentral:lncRNA from 7 species
GUACCCAUCAUGCCCAUUCCUAAACCAUGGAGCAGCACCUAUGGCCUCUGAAGCAGCAGGAUGCUGUGGCAUUCAUAGCCUCUCCCCCGUACUCCACUUGAAAGGGAUUUUAGAUGGAGCAAUCAUCUUUUUCUUUUUUUAAUGAAUGUUGAUUAUCCCCCAAGUUAAUCUGGAGAAGACUACAAAGCAGAAUUGCCUUUGAAUUUGCCAAGAUGAGUGAUUCUGGGUGCCCAAGCAGAACGAGCUUUGAAAAGUCUGAAAGGCUUCCAGAGGACGGGUGCCCGGCACGUUCUCAAAAAACUACAGGAAUGCACCAAACUUUGAAGCAUUGAGAAUUGCUGGUGACUACCUUAAACUUCAGCGCAUGGUCGUGCCAAAGGCCCCUGGCUGUAAUACAUGCCACAGGAUAUAUUACUCUCUAUGCACUAUAAAUCUUGCAAACUAGGUUUGAAGGGACUGUGAGAGAUAGUCUUGCCCUGCAUUUCUCAGAGUUUCUCACCCGUGCCUCUGCUCCGCCCUGCAGAGAUUUUGUGCCUCACGGGUGAGGGGUGGUUGUGUGAUUCAGAGCAUUUCGAUGGCCCCCUGUGGGUCUGAUCCCUUCUCUGCCCAAGAGCAGGAUCAGCAUAUACCUAAGCCAUCCACAACAGAUGUUUGCCUAAGCUGUCCUUCAAAAACAAACAAAAAAUGAUGGCGAUAUAACAGUCUCCCCAGCCAAUCUAUCUCAUGCUUAAUCAUCCUUACUGUUAGAUUUUAUUUUCAUGUUUAUCCUAAAUCUCUUUUGUGACCAUCUAAGCCCAUUAUUUCCCAUCCUGUCAUCAGUGAACAUGAAGAACAGAAAUAUUCUUUCAUAUUUGCAGAUUACUUUGACAUAUUUAAAGGUUGGUCUUGUCUCCCUUUUGGUGUUGACUUCUCAACACUAAACAAUGUUAUUUCCUUCAGUUUUUCUUCGUAAAUCACAUUUUCUAGAUCUCUAAUUGGUUUUGGGGCUUCGGUGAACAGGAUUUGGUCUUUUUUUUUUUCUUAAAAGAAAAAAGAAAAAAAAAAAGAUUUGAAAUGAAACAAAAUAUUCCAGCUGAGGCUUUAACAGCCCUCUGUAAACCAAGGUUAUGUCAAACAGCUUACAGUUGGUGCUCUCUGUGCUCUACCCCAGAAUGAUGCAGCAGGACGUUGUUGACUUUUUGCACUGCAGUCU